GACGAAGGAUGCAAGCGUUAUCCGGAUUCAUUGGGUUUAAAGGGAGCGUAGGCGGCCAGAUAAGUCAGUGGUGAAAUCCUGUUGCUUAACAACAGAACUGCCAUUGAUACUGUUUGGCUUGAGUACAGUUGCUGUGGGCGGAAUAUGACAUGUAGUGGUGAAAUACAUAGAGAUGUCAUAGAACACCGAUUGCGAAGGCAGCUCACAAAACUGUAACUGACGCUGAGGCUCGAAAGCUAGGGGAGCGAACGGG
rnacentral:rRNA from 1 species